CGGGGUGUAGCGCAGUCCGGUUAGCGCGCCUGCUUUGGGAGCAGGAGGUCGGGAGUUCAAAUCUCCCCACCCCGA
rnacentral:tRNA from 1 species